GAUGAACGCUGGCGGCGUGCCUAAUACAUGCAAGUCGAGCGAACGGACGAGAAGCUUGCUUCUCUGAUGUUAGCGGCAGACGGGUGAGUAACACGUGGAUAACCUACCUAUAAGACUGGGAUAACUUCGGGAAACCGGAGCUAAUACCGGAUAAUAUUUUGAACCGCAUGGUUCAAAAGUGAAAGACGGUCUUUCUGUCACUUAUAGAUGGAUCCGCGCUGCAUUAGCUAGUUGGUAAGGUAACGGCUUACCAAGGCAACGAUGCAUAGCCGACGUGAGAGGGUGAUCGGCCACCCUGGAACUGAGACACGGUCAAGACUCCUACGGGAGGCAGCAGUAGGGAAUCUUCCGCAAUGGGCGAAAGCCUGACGGAGCAACGCCGCGUGAGUGAUGAAGGUCUUCGGAUCGUAAAACUCUGUUAUUAGGGAAGAACAUAUGUGUAAGUAACUGUGCACAUCUUGACGGUACCUAAUCAGAAAGCCACGGCUAACUACGUG
rnacentral:rRNA from 1 species